GGUCAUAAAUGAUGUCCAAAACUGGGUC
rnacentral:piRNA from 1 species